rnacentral:rRNA from 1 species
GACAGAGGGUGCAACGUUGCUCGGAAUCACUGGGCGUAAAGGGCGUGUAGGCGGGAAGGAUAGUCAGAUGUGAAAAUCCCUGGGCUCAACCCAGGAACUGCAUUUGAAACUCCCUUUCUUGAGUGUCGGAGAGGAAAGUGGAAUUCCUGGUGUAGAGGUGAAAUUCGUAGAUAUCAGGAGGAACACCGGUGGCGAAGGCGGCUUUCUGGACGACAACUGACGUGAGACGCGAAAGCGUGGGGGAGCAAACAGG